rnacentral:rRNA from 1 species
AGCGAACGCUGGCGGCAGGCCUAACACAUGCAAGUCGAACGAACCCUUCGGGGUUAGUGGCGGACGGGUGAGUAACACGUGGGAACGUGCCUUUAGGUUCGGAAUAACUCUGGGAAACUUGUGCUAAUACCGAAUGUGCCCUUCGGGGGAAAGAUUUAUCGCCUUUAGAGCGGCCCGCGUCUGAUUAGCUAGUCGGUGAGGUAAUGGCUCACCAAGGCUACGAUCAGUAGCUGGUCUGAGAGGAUGACCAGCCACAUUGGGACUGAGGCACGGCCCAAACUCCUACGGGAGGCAGCAGUGGGGAAUCUUGCGCAAUGGGCGAAAGCCUGACGCAGCCAUGCCGCGUGGAUGAUGAAGGUCUUAGGAUUGUAAAAUCCUUUCACCGGUGAAGAUAAUGACUGUAGCCGGAGAAGAAGCCCCGGCUAACUUCGUGCCAGCCGCCGCAGUAAGAC